CAGACGCCUGGACUCCCAUCAGCCCCGGAGACAGACACACCCGUGGACAUGCAGGCGUCCCUCUGACCCGUCCCUCUGACCCCGUCCCUCGACGGCAGGCCGGUCUCCAGACCAUGUGCACCACCAUCAUGGUCCUCUCCACCCUGGCCUUCGUCCUGCGCCGCCGCUUCUUCAGCGGCGCCAAAACCUCUCCAAAGGACCUGACAGAAGAAGAAGACGCCGCCUCCAGCCCCGAGUCCUGACCCUGACCAGGGAAACUCCCCGGGACACCAGAAUGCUCCUCCUCGUCACACAGACUCCAGCUCCUCUCAAUCUCCAUCAGACCUCCGUCCUCAGCUCCGCCUGAGGUAGAAACGCCGCCCUGCUCCCGACGGCGUCGCCGCUCCGCCGCUGCAGAACUUUAGUCUUGCUGUUUGUCCUGAUGUUGCUGCCAGAGCAGAAA